rnacentral:rRNA from 1 species
CGAGUGGCGGACGGGUGAGGAAUACAUCGGAAUCUACUCUGUCGUGGGGGAUAACGUAGGGAAACUUACGCUAAUACCGCAUACGACCUACGGGUGAAAGCAGGGGAUCUUCGGACCUUGCGCGAUUGAAUGAGCCGAUGUCGGAUUAGCUAGUUGGCGGGGUAAAGGCCCACCAAGGCGACGAUCCGUAACUGGUCUGAGAGGAUGAUCAGUCACACUGGAACUGAGACACGGUCCAGACUCCUACGGGAGGCAGCAGCU